rnacentral:rRNA from 1 species
GAUGAACGCUGGCGGCGUGCCUAAUACAUGCAAGUCGAGCGAAUGGAUUAAGAGCUUGCUCUUAUGAAGUUAGCGGCGGACGGGUGAGUAACACGUGGGUAACCUGCCCAUAAGACUGGGAUAACUCCGGGAAACCGGGGCUAAUACCGGAUAACAUUUUGAACCGCAUGGUUCGAAAUUGAAAGGCGGCUUAGGCUGUCACUUAUGGCUGGACCCGCGUCGCAUUAGCUAUUUGGUGAGGUAACGGCUCACCAAGGCAACGAUGCGUAGCCGACCUGAGAGGGUGAUCGGCCACACUGGGACUGAGACACGGCCCAGACUCCUACGGGAGGCAGCAGUAGGGAAUCUUCCGCAAUGGACGAAAGUCUGACGGAGCAACGCCGCGUGAGUGAUGAAGGCUUUCGGGUCGUAAAACUCUGUUGUUAGGGAAGAACAAGUGCUAGUUGAAUAAGCUGGCACCUUGACGGUACCUAACCAGAAAGCCACGGCUAACUACGUGCCAGCCGCCGCUGUAA